CUAUGGGUUUUGAUCCAAUCCUAUGCGCCAGUUUUCAUGGGGUUUUCUCCGGUUCUACUGUUGACGUAUGAAAUUAUGAGGUAGAAGAUUUGAGUGCUUUAUUAAUAGGUAAAUAUUUCUUCGGCCACCAUAUGCAUAAUGCAUCGAUCCGUUGGAGUAGUUGUUUGCAUGGUGUCCAGCUCGACUGCACCUUUCAUGCAUUUUUUUCCUUGGAUUAGUUGUUUGUAGCGUGAGAAAAAUGAACACUCACAUCUAACGUCUCGUCUAAUCACAUAGCUAUCACAAGACUAUUCAUCUUUAUUAUUCAUUUUUAUCACGCACAUUGUACACUAUUGAAUAGUCAUUACAAGAUCAUGUAUGUGGAUAGCUCCGAACCUCCUCUAGUAGGAUGUAUGGAAAGAAUGGAGUGGAAAAGUUUGGAGGCCGCUAGCUUUUUUCUGAUUUUCAACCGAGCGCCGGUUCAAGGUGGAGGCCGGUGUUUUUUCUUCCUGGGCGCUUGUUCAAGCGGGACGAGGGUGGGUUUACUAUGGGUUUUGAUCCUAUCCCCUACGCUAGUUUUCACGAAGUUUUCUCCGGUUCUACUGUUGACGUAUGAAAUUAUGAGGUAGAAGAUUUGUUUGCUUUAUUAAUAGGUAAAUAUUUCUUCAGCCACCAUAUGCAUAAUGCAUCGAUCCGUUGGAGUAGUUGUUUGCUUGGUGUCAAGCUCAACUGCACCUUUCAUGCAUUUUUUUCCUUGGAUUACCUGUUUGUAGCCUGAGAAAAAUGAACAAUCACAUCUAACGUCUCGUCUAAUCACAUAACUAUCACAAGACUGCUAAUCAUUAUUAUUCAUUUUUUAUCACGCACAUUGUACACUAUUGAAUAGUCGUGAUAAAUCGUGGAUACAAAUAGCUCCGAACCACCUCAUGUUGGAUGUAUGGAAAGAAUGGAGUGGAAAAGUUUGGAGGCCGCCGGCUUUUGUCUGAUUUUCAACCGAGCGCCGGUUCAAGGUGGAGGCUGGUGUUUUUUCUACCUGGGCGCCUGUUCAAGCGGGAGGAGGGUGGGUUUACUAUGUGUUUUGAUCCUAUCCUAUGCGUUAGUUUUCUAGGGGUUUUCUCCGAUUCCACUGCUGACGUAUGAAAUUAUGAGGUAGAAGAUUUGAGUGCUUUAUUAAUAUGUUAAUAUUUCUUCGCCCACCAUAUGCAUAAUGCUUCGAACCGUUAGAGUAGUUGUAUGCAUGGUGUCCAGCUCGACUGCACCUUUCAUGCAUUUUUUUCCUUGGAUUAGUUGUUUGUAGCGUGAAAAAAAUGAACAAUCACAUCUAACUACUCGUCUAAUCACAUAGCUAUCACAAGACUAUUGAUCUUUAUUAUUCAUUUUUAUCACCCACAUUGUACACUAUUGAAUAGUCGUGAUAAAUCGUGGAUACAAAUAGCUCCGAACCACCUCAUGUUGGAUGUAUGGAAAGAAUGGAGUGGAAAAGUUUGGAGGCCGCCGGCUUUUUUGUGAUUUUCAACCGAGCGCCGGCUCAAGGUGGAGGCCGGUGUUUUUUCUUCCUGGUUGCCUGUUCAAGCAGGAGGAGGGUGGGUUUACUAUGGGUUUGAUCCUAUCCUAUGCGCCAGUUUUCACAGGGUUUUCUCCGGUUCUACUGUUGACGUAUGAAAUUACGAGGUAGAAGAUUUGAUUGCUUUAUUAAUAGGUAAAUAUUUUUUCGGCCGCCAUAUGCAUAAUGCAUCGAUCCGUUGGAGUAGUUGUUUGCAUGGUGUCCAGCUCAACUGCACCUUUCACGCAUUUAUUUCCCUGGAUUAGUUGUUUGUAGCGUGAGAAAAAUGAACACUCACAUUUAACGUCUCGUCUAAUCACAUAACUAUCACAAGACUAUUGACCUUUAUUAUUCAUUUUUAUCACGCACAUUGUACACUGUUGAAUGGUCAUGACAAGAUCAUGGAUGUGGAUAGCUCCGAACCUCCUCAUGUAGGAUCUAUGGAAAGAAUGGAGUGGAAAAGUUUUGAGGCCGCUGGCUUUUUUCUGAUUUUCAACCAAGCGCCGGUUCAAGGUGGAAGCCGGUGUUUUUU
rnacentral:lncRNA from 1 species